rnacentral:snoRNA from 1 species
CCAGCCUGAGCAAAGCGAGACCCGUCUCUACUAAAAAUAGAAAGAAAUUUACAGUCCCUUUCUACAACGUUGGCGAUAAAGGCUGGGCUUUGGUCUGCCCCUGCAUAGCCUACGACUCCCAGAGUCCUGUGGACAAUGACUGGGAGACAACCAUGCAGGAAACUGUC